ACCCAACUGUUUGUCAUCAAUGCCAUCUAUAUCAUGUGAUGUAACAGUGACUGCUAUCACUUUAAAAAAAAACAGUUAGUUAAAGUCUUCUUCAAUCUGUUUCACUCAUUUAGUACGAAUCAGCAGUGAACUUAUACAGAAAUUAUCAAACAAGUUGGAAGACU